rnacentral:rRNA from 1 species
UACAGAGGGGGCGAGCGUUGUUCGGAAUUACUGGGCGUAAAGGGCGCGUAGGCGGCCUUCUAAGUCGAACGUGAAAUCCCCGGGCUCAACCCGGGAACUGCGUCCGAUACUGGAAGGCUUGAAUCCGGGAGAGGGAUGCGGAAUUCCAGGUGUAGCGGUGAAAUGCGUAGAUAUCUGGAGGAACACCGGUGGCGAAGGCGGCAUCCUGGACCGGCAUUGACGCUGAGGCGCGAAAGCGUGGGGAGCGAACAGG